GGACACCACUUAACCAAAGGUAUAUAGCAGAGUGGAUAGGACCAGGAAGUCCUCGAGUUCGCAACCCUUCAUCUCCUCGCACCCUUGAAAGCAUCCCAGAAGCAGAGGAAAAUGGUGCUGGGGAGCAGUUGAAAGACCUCCCCUUCAUCUCCUUGCACCCUUGAAAGCAUCCCAGAAGCAGAGGAAAAUGGUGCUGGGGAGCAGUUGAAAGACCUUCAUGCAAAGUCUUCAAAAGUAAAAUCAGAUGAAGUUAUGGACUCAAUCUCUCAGGAUAAAUGCCGUUCUUUGCUUUCUGGAUCUGGAAAAGGUUAUGCAGAGCAACAGGAAUUCUUUGUUCCUUGGCACUUACCUU
rnacentral:lncRNA from 1 species